CAGCGCCACGAGUGGUGAUCACAUUAUUGGGUCUAAAGCGUCCGUAGCUGGUUUAGUAAAUCUUCUGUGAAAUCGUUUCGCUUAACGAAACGGCGUGCAGGGGACACUGCUAAUCUCGAGACCGGGAGGAGUCAGAGGUAUGCCGUGGGGACUGGUAAAAUGGGAUAAUCCACGGUAGACCACCAAUGGCGAAGGCAUCUGACCAGAACGGAUCUGACGGUGAGGGACGAAAGCCAGGGGAGCGAACCGGAUUAGAUACCCGAGUAGUCC
rnacentral:rRNA from 1 species